rnacentral:rRNA from 1 species
AUGCUUAACACAUGCAAGUCGAACGAGAAAGGGUAGCAAUACCUGAGUACAGUGGCGCACGGGUGAGUAACACGUGACUAACCUACCUCCGAGUGGGGAAUAACUGAGAGAAAUCUUAGCUAAUACCGCAUAACACUUACGAGUCAAAGCAGCAAUGCGCUUGGAGAGGGGGUCGCGGCAGAUUAGUUAGUUGGCGGGGUAAUGGCCCACCAAGACGAUGAUCUGUAUCCGGCCUGAGAGGGCGCACGGACACACUGGAACUGAAACACGGUCCAGACUCCUACGGGAGGCAGCAGUGGGGAAUUUUGCGCAAUGGGGGAAACCCUGACGCAGCAACGCCGCGUGGAGGAUGAAGCCCCUUGGGGCGUAAACUCCUUUCGACCAAGACGAUAAUGACGGUACUGGUGGAAGAAGCACCGGCUAACUCUGUGCCAGCAGCCGCGGUAAUACAGAGGGUGCGAGCGUUGUUCGGAAUUAUUGGGCGUAAAGGGCGCGUAGGCGGUGCCACAAGUCUGGGGUGAAAUCGUUCGGCUUAACCGGACCAGUGCCUUGGAUACUGGGAGACUCGAGGGAGGUAGGGGCAGGUGGAACUUCCGGUGGAGCGGUGAAAUGCGUAGAUAUCGGAAGGAACACCAGUGG